rnacentral:rRNA from 1 species
GAUGAACGCUGGCGGCGUGCCUAAUACAUGCAAGUCGAGCGAACAGACGAGGAGCUUGCUCCUCUGACGUUAGCGGCGGACGGGUGAGUAACACGUGGAUAACCUACCUAUAAGACUGGGAUAACUUCGGGAAACCGGAGCUAGUACCGGAUAACAUGUUGAACCGCAUGGUUCAACAGUGAAAGACGGUCUUGCUGUCACUUAUAGAUGGAUCCGCGCCGCAUUAGCUAGUUGGUAAGGUAACGGCUUACCAAGGCAACGAUGCGUAGCCGAACUGACAGGGUGAUCGGCCACACUGGAACUGAGACACGGUCCAGACUCCUACGGGAGGCAGCAGUAGGGAAUCUUACGCAAUGGGCGAAAGCCUGACGUAGCAACGCCGCGUGAGUGAAGAAGGUCUUCGGAUCGUAAAACUCUGUUAUUAGGGAAGAACAAAUGUGUAAGUAACUAUGCACGUCUUGACGGUACCUAAUCAGAAAGCCACGGCUAACUACGUG